GGGGCUGUGGCUCAGAGGCAGAGCGCUUGCCUAGCAUGUAUGAGGCCCUGAGUUUAAUCCUCAGCACCACCU
rnacentral:tRNA from 1 species